rnacentral:sRNA from 1 species
GAAUACCCGGCCGGCGGUUCCUCCUCCCUCCGUCCGCCGGGAUAGCGGCCAGCACCUCCCGCUGGCCAUUUAUAGGAAAAGGCCGGCACCUCCUCCCGCCGGCCUUUUUCU